GGGCCCGCACAAGCGGUGGAGCAUGUGGUUUAAUUCGACGCAACGCGCAGAACCUUACCAGCCCUUGACAUCCCGUGACCGGCCCAGAGAUGGGUUUUUCCAGCAAUGGACACGGAGACAGGUGCUGCAUGGCUGUCGUCAGCUCGUGUCGUGAGAUGUUGGGUUAAGUCCCGCAACGAGCGCAACCCUUGCCUUCAGUUGCCAUCAUUUAGUUGGGCACUCUGGAGGGACUGCCGGCGGCAAGCCGGAGGAAGGUGGGGAUGACGUCAAGUCCUCAUGGCCCUUACGGGCUGGGCUACACACGUGCUACAAUGGUGGCGACAGAGGGCACAAGCGAGAGCGCGAGCUUUAGCAAAUCCUCAAAAGCCAUCUCAGUUCAGAUUGCGCUCUGCAACUCGGGCGCAUGAAGGUGGAAUCGCUAGUAAUCGCAGAACAGCAGGCUGCGGUGAAUACGUUCCCGGGCCUU
rnacentral:rRNA from 1 species